rnacentral:lncRNA from 1 species
AGAUUUAAAUUUUUCAGAUUCUAUAAUGAUAAGUGAUUGAUUUUUCAUAUUCUAUAAUGGUAAGUGAUUGAUUUUUCAUAUUCUAUAAUAAUAAGUUAUUUUGGGCUAACCUUUAUUUUUGGUCGUGGGAGUGAAUUCAUGUGGUCGUACGUUGUUCAGCUGAUUAUGUACACUACUGAUUCAAUCUUUCGGGCAACAAUGAUAACAUGUUUGGGAAGAAAUCUAGAAAAAUAGAACAUGCUAUAAGCAAAGUUUGCCAAAGGUUGUUGUGAUGAAGAAGUUGUCCAAUGGAGCCUGUGCACUGAUCAUGUGGUGCCAAAAAGAAACUUAAACUGAUUUAUAUAUUUCUCAAAAUCUAGGUAAUUUUCAAUCCACAAUUCAGUUUGUGUCAGUGUUGAUAAGCAAUAUCAACACUCUUUUCUAGUUUCUGCUCUAUAAGAUUAAGCUGAAGCCUCUGUCCUUUAUGCUGGUUUCUAUGUUUGACUUCACCUAUCCACGACGUGGAUUGCUGCAUUUGACCCUAGACAUUAUAUCUUUUUUAUUCAAGAACUACCUACCAUUUUAUAUAAAUGUUAGAAUAUAAGGAUUUUAACAUGUAACCUGUAAUUUUAUUAUUGAUAGAUCGCUUAUUUUCAAUCUGUAAGUUUGGAUACUAGUAACCGCACAACUUGUUUAUGUACAACCAUAAACAAACUUCAAAAAUACAAAUAAAAUAUUUACUUGUUACACACACUCAAGUAAAGAUUUUGAUGAUGUAACAAGUACUUUAGCAGGGAAUCUAACUCCAUUUAUCCACACAUUUGAUAUGUUUAAAUACAUAUGCAGGGAAAUGUGCGGAAAGGUAGUAAAAUUAGAUUAGCUUAUUGCUCUCCCAUCAUGGUAAUUGCACAUACCGUUAAGAAGGAAUUCUCUUUUUAUUUCCUACUGUUACCUUUUUUUCACUGUUCAUUUUCAGGAUUCUUUUCUUUUUGCUACCUACUUAGGGUGCUCUGCCGUCGCAAAAUUUAAGUAUUUGUAUAGAGAUGUUAGAAUGUUGCUUUCUCUAGGGUCAUUUGUCACUAUCCACUUGUCUAGGCUUGCUUACUUAGGCCUGAAAUAACAAACAAAGCAUAUGCCUUGAUUUUGGAUCCUUUCAUUCAUCUGUAAACUUUCAAAAGCUUGUUAUAAAAAGGGGUUCUAUUAAUAUUCGUUCAUUUGGAUUAAGUGCAUGAGAUAUAUGUAAGAUUAAAUUUCUUUUCGUUGUAUGUAGAUGAAUUUGCACUAUGGAUUAUCAUGUAACAUAUACUCAGUUUUUUCUACUCCAUCUUCAACCUGAUUUUGCAACAACAUGGUAGGUUGCAUAUCUUAAGAUCAUUCAUAUUUUUGAUUAUAGAGACAUGGUGUAUCCAAUAUUCCAAAACUGCACUUUAGGUUUCAACUUUUUGGCCAGCUCAUCAAGUUAUAGUAAUCGUAGUUUUGAUGGCUUCAGUGGUUUUGGAACUUUUGGUCCAAGCUUUGGAGUUGAGGGAAAAAUAAGAAAGAGAAGGGAAAACAAGAAAAAAAAUAACAAGUGAAGAAUGUUCGUGUGCAUGUGUAUGUGUGUAUCACAUGAUUUUAAAGAAUUUGGUAUUGUUUGGAAUCUUUUGGAGAUAUGGUUUUAGUGUUUUUGGGCUGAAAGACUUGAAACUAUCAAAAAAUAUUUAUAAAGGUUUUUGAGAAACUAACAAAAAUGCUAAAGAAGUCAUUUUAAUAUAUCAUUCAAUUAUCUGAUACAAUUUUAUUAUCUAAUACAGAAUAACAUGAAUUGAUGGAAGAGUAAAAUAUACUAAAAUCCCCUAUUUUCCCCAAGAGACAUUGAAACCCCAACAAAUGUCUUACAACUAGAAAAAAAUAACUUCCCCUAAAUUUAUUUGGACCGCAGUUUCAUAUGGUUCUGAUACACAUAAAUUUUUGAAAGUUUGAAUUUAACUUGUAUUUGAUCUUAAGGAAUUUUUUUUUUCAGAAACUUGAUUUAUCAACCAUCAGUAAGUGUCUCUUUAUAUAAUUCAAAAGAGAAAAUAAAAUUGACCUAAAACCAAUAAUAAUUACUUGGAUACAAGGACUUAGGUGCCACCAGAUGCUGGUCCAUGUCAGUUAGCAUGUACCAUGCUGGGCUUGUUUGGCACUCAACACUGGGUUGAUAUUGGUUAUCAAGUGUACAAGCCCAUACAUUUCAUACCAGUUUGGCAUGGGUUGUAGGGCUUGAUAACAAGUCCAAAGUCUUUUUUGUUAUAAAAAGUUUAAUUCUAGUUUCAGCAUGUCAUGACACAUGUAGGAACAGCAAAGCAUUCUAUGCUGGCCACUACACAUGCUAAAAAACUGAAGAAUGAAAUGAUAUUAAACACUCAGAAAAUUGUUGCAUUUACUAUCCAUAAACACUUUUGUCUGCAACAAUAACUGGCCAAACUUGGACUGAAAUGGACUGAAAAUGAGUUCGAAAGGUCAGUUUCGUCUUACGUCCAGCCUAUACUGACCGGUUUUUCCUAAAUGUUUCAAUUUUGGCUGAAAUUUUGGAAGUCAA